AUGGGGUCUAGUCCUGGCUGCAGUACUAUUAGAGAACUACGGGACUUAAAUCUUGGUUGGGAAUUAAUGCUAUCUCGUCUUCAGUAUGUAACUGAAGAAGAUGCUAAAGCAUGCAGCCUGGGAAAUAAAGAGAAACUCGCAUGUUUAUCUCUUGAAUGGAGCAAUUACAGCAAUAGGGAACUGGACCAGCACAGAAGUGUGCUUGAUGCUCUUCAACCUCAUGUUGCAUUGGAGCUUCUAAAGAUAAACUCCUAUGAAGGUAUUGGCUUCCCGACAUGGGUGACAAGUCCUAAUUUUCUGCAGCAUUUGACUGAGCUCUGCCUAGAUGGUUGCACAAUGUGUGAGGAAUUUCCACAGUUUGGUCAAUAUAAGUCGCUUGAAGUACUUAUCUUGAAAAGGUUGAGCAAACUGCAAAGCCUAUGCAGCCACAGUUCAUCUACAACAUUUCCAACAUUGAAAUACCUCACAUUAGAAAAUUUGGAAAAUUUUGAGAGAUGGGUGGCCUCAAAAGGAGAAUAUUUAACAUUUCCUGUACUCAAGAAUGUUAAAAUUGAAAACUGCCCAAAGCUAAUGACUCUGCCUGAAGCACCAAAACUCAAAGUUAUAGAGCUAGCAGAAGAGAAGGCUCAACUAUGCUUAUCAAUAUUCAGAUCCAGGCAUGUGUCUUGCUUGUCUGAUUUAUCCCUGUGUGUCAAUGAUACAGAAGCAAAACCAACACUGGAGCUUGAUCAAGAUCGUGAAGUAUCUCUUUCGGAACUAAGGUUGCAUGGUUGCAGCUUUUUGUUCUGCUCAAGUCCAUCGCAGCCAACAUUUGGGGUCUGGAAAUGA
rnacentral:rRNA from 1 species